rnacentral:rRNA from 1 species
GACGAACGCUGGCGGCGUGCUUAAUACAUGCAAGUCGAACGGACAGGCCCUGCUCUUGCGGGGUGCUCGAGUGGCGCACGGGUGUGUAACACGCGAGUAACCUGCCCUUGUCUUUGGGAUAUCUCUAGGAAAAUGGGGCUCAUACCGGAUAGGAGCUCCUGCUGCAUGGUGGGGGUUGGAAAGAUUCGGCGGUUGGGGAUGGACUAGCGGCUUAUCCGCUUGUUAGUCGAGUAGUGGCUUACCAAGCCUUUGACGGGUAGCCGGCCUGAGAGGGUUGCCGGCCACAUGAGGACUGAGGUACGCCGCAGACGCCUACGGGAGGCAGCGGUCGAGAGUAUGGCGCAGUAAGCGGAAGCCAGAUACAGCAGCGCCGCGAGCGGAAUGACGUGCUUCGAGGUAUGAACCGCUGUCUCCGGUAACAUAGCGGGAGUGACGGUAAUGGGUAAGAAAGCAACGGCUAACUACGUG